rnacentral:rRNA from 1 species
UUCGGGGACAUUGGUGACAGGUGGUGCAUGGUUGUCGUCAGCUCGUGUCGUGAGAUGUUGGGUUAAGUCCCGCAACGAGCGCAACCCUUGUCUUUAGUUGCCAUCAUUAAGUUGGGCACUCUAGAGAGACUGCCAGGGAUAACCUGGAGGAAGGUGGGGAUGACGUCAAAUCAUCAUGCUCCUUAUGCUUAGGGCUACACACGUGCUACAAUGGGUAGUACAGAGGGUUGCCAAGCCGUAAGGUGGAGCUAAUCCCUUAAAGCUACUCUCAGUUCGGAUUGUAGGCUGAAACUCGCCUACAUGAAGCUGGAGUUACUAGUAAUCGCAGAUCAGAAUGCUGCGGUGAAUGCGUUCCCGGGUCUUGUACACACCGCCCGUCACACCACGGGAGUUGGAGACGCCCGAAGCCGAUUAUCUAACCUGUUGGAAGAAGUCGUCGAAGGUGGAAUCAAUAACUGGGGUGAAGUCGUAACAAGGUAGCCGUAUCGGAAGGUGCGGCUGGAUCACCUCCUUUCUAAGGA